GUUAAUGUAGCUUAAUUUUAAAGCAAGACACUGAAAAUGUCUAGAUGGGCAAGUAUAACCCCAUAAACA
rnacentral:tRNA from 1 species